UACAGAGGGUGCAAGCGUUAAUCGGAAUUACUGGGCGUAAAGGGUGCGUAGGUGGUUACGUAAGUUAGAUGUGAAAGUCCUGGGCUUAACCUGGGGACGGCGUCUAAUACUGCGAAGCUAGAGUACUGUAGAGGAAAGUGGAAUUUCCGGUGUAGCAGUGAAAUGCGUAGAUAUCGGAAGGAACAUCAGUGGCGAAGGCGACUUUCUGGACAGAUACUGACACUGAGGCACGAAAGCGUGGGUAGCAAACAGG
rnacentral:rRNA from 1 species